rnacentral:rRNA from 1 species
CCUACUGGUGGCAGCCGUGGGGGAUAUUGCACAAUGGAGGAAACUCUGAUGCAGCGACGCCGCGUUAGGGCAGACGGUCUUCGGAUUGUAAACCUCUGUCUUUGGGGAAGAAAAUGACGGUACCCAAAGAGGAAGCUCCGGCUAACGACGUGCCCGCAGCCUCGGUAAUACGUAGGGAGCGAGCGUUGUUCGGAAUUACUUGGUGUAAAGGGCGCGUAGGCGGGCGAGAAAGUUGAAUGUUAAAUCUACCGGCUUAACUGGUAGCGGUGUUCAAAAAUUCUUGUCUUGAGGGAAGUAGAGGCAGGCGGGAUGCCUAGGGUAGCGGUGAAAUGUGUAGAUAUUAUGAGGAAC